rnacentral:rRNA from 1 species
GACGAACGCUGGCGGCGUGCUUAACACAUGCAAGUCGAACGGAAAGGCCCUGCUUUUGUGGGGUGCUCGAGUGGCGAACGGGUGAGUAACACGUGAGUAACCUGCCCUUGACUUUGGGAUAACUUCAGGAAACUGGGGCUAAUACCGGAUAGGAGCUCCUGCUGCAUGGUGGGGGUUGGAAAGUUUCGGCGGUUGGGGAUGGACUCGCGGCUUAUCAGCUUGUUGGUGGGGUAGUGGCUUACCAAGGCUUUGACGGGUAGCCGGCCUGAGAGGGUGACCGGCCACAUUGGGACUGACAUACGGCCCAGACUCCUACGGGAGGCAGCAGUGGCGAAUAUUGCACAAUGGGCGGAAGCCUGAUGCAGCAACGCCGCGUGCGGGAUGACGGCCUUCGGGUUGUAAACCGCUUUCGCCUGUGACGAAGCGUGAGUGACGGUAAUGGGUAAAGAAGCACCGGCUAACUACGUG